UAGAUAAUACUAUUUUAUUUAUU
rnacentral:tRNA from 1 species